AGUGUGAGUUAUGAGUGCAACACCCCACCGAGGGGACAAAUUCAAAGCUAUUAUGAGAAAGGGUAAUAUAAGAUGUAGUCAUAGGUAAAGAUGAGCAUUUUGAAAAGGGUAAUUACAAAAGCACACGAAGAUAGAUGAGCAGCUCAUGAAAAUUCGAGUCUACUUUUGCCAGGGAGAAGAUCUCAGAUUUCUGCCUGGUCACAUCUUGGGCUGAUCCUUGAAUCAUGCAUGAGUGGAACAGAAUCAGAGAAACUCAGAGAUAACAGAUCUGAAUUGAACCAGGAGCUACUCUCCAAGAAACAUUUUGCAUUUUGUAGUUAUUCAAAUUAAUUGCCUGCUAAAACAAAGGAAACGUUUCUUACAGAAAAUAACAGAUUUCAGCACUUCCAGUUGUUAAUAUUCAUGAUGUCUAAGAUACUGCCAAUAGAUAAGUUUCAAAAAAAAUGAUAAAAUCAUGGGCCUCAGAGAAAUAAAAAUGAACAGACAUGA